rnacentral:rRNA from 1 species
CUCAGAUUAGCCAUGCAUGUCUAAGUACAUGCCGUAUUAAGGCGAAACCGCGAAUGGCUCAUUAAAUCAGUUAUGGUUCCUUGGAUCGUACCUUACUACUUGGAUAACUGUGGCAAUUCUAGAGCUAAUACAUGCAGCAGAGCUCCGACCUUCGGGGACGAGCGCUUUUAUUAGACCAAAACCAAUCGGACCUCGUGUCCGUACGAUGUGGUGACUCUGUAUAACUUUGGGCUGAUCGCACGGGCCCGUCCCGGCGACGUAUCUUUCAAGUGUCUGCCUUAUCAACUGUCGAUGGUAGGUUACUCGCCUACCAUGGUCGUAACGGGUGACGGGGAAUCAGGGUUCGAUUCCGGAGAGGGAGCCUGAGAAACGGCUACCACAUCCAAGGAAGGCAGCAGGCGCGCAAAUUACCCACUCCCAGGAACGGGGAGGUAGUGACGAAAAAUAACAAUACGGGACUCUUUUGAGACCCCGUAAUUGGAAUGAGUACACUCUAAAUCCUUUAACGAGGAUCCAUUGGAGGGCAAGUCUGGUGCCAGCAGCUGCGGUAAUUCCAGCUCCAAUAGCGUAUAUUAAAGUUGUUGCGGUUAAAAAGCUCGUAGUUGGAUCUCAGUUCCAGACGGGUGGUCCGCCUACCGGUGGUCACUGCCUGUUCUGAACAGCCAGCCGGUUUCCCUUGAUGAUCUUCACCGGUUGUCUCGGGUGACCGGCAAGUUUACUUUGAAAAAAUUAGAGUGCUCAAAGCAGGCGUGACGCCUGAAUAAUGGUGCAUGGAAUAAUGGAAUAGGACCUCGGUUCUAUUUUGUUGGUUUUCGGAACACGAGGUAAUGAUUAAGAGGGACAGACGGGGGCAUUCGUAUUGCGACGCUAGAGGUGAAAUUCUUGGACCGUCGCAAGACGAACUACUGCGAAAGCAUUUGCCAAGAAUGUUUCCAUUAAUCAAGAACGAAAGUUAGAGGUUCGAAGGCGAUCAGAUACCGCCCUAGUUCUAACCAUAAACGAUGCCAGCCAGCGAUCCGGCUGUGUU